AACGAACGCUGGCGGCAUGCCUAACACAUGCAAGUCGAACGAGACCUUCGGGUCUAGUGGCGCACGGGUGCGUAACGCGUGGGAACCUGCCCUUAGGUUCGGAAUAACUCCCCGAAAGGGGUGCUAAUACCGGAUAAUGUCUUCGGACCAAAGAUUUAUCGCCUUUGGAUGGGCCCGCGUUGGAUUAGCUAGUUGGUAGGGUAAAAGCCUACCAAGGCGACGAUCCAUAGCUGGUCGGAGAGGAUGAUCAGCCACACUGGGACUGAGACACGGCCCAGAAUCCUACGGGAGGGAGCAGUGGGGAAUAUUGGACAAUGGGCGAAGGCCUGAUCCAGCAAUGCCGCGUGAGUGAUGAAGGCCUUAGGGUUGUAAAGCUCUUUUACCCGGGAUGAUAAUGACAGUACCGGGAGAAUAAGCUCCGGCUAACUCCGUG
rnacentral:rRNA from 1 species